rnacentral:rRNA from 1 species
UACGUAGGGUGCAAGCGUUGUCCGGAAUUACUGGGCGUAAAGAGCUCGUAGGUGGUUUGUCGCGUUGUCCGUGAAAACUCACAACUCAAUUGUGGGCGUGCGGGCGAUACGGGCAGACUGGAGUACUGCAGGGGAGACUGGAAUUCCUGGUGUAGCGGUGGAAUGCGCAGAUAUCAGGAGGAACACCAGUGGCGAAGGCGGCUUUCUGGUCUGCUCUUGACGCUGAGGCGCGAAAGCUAGGGUAGCAAACGGG